GACAGAGGUGCCGAGCGUUAGGCGGAAUCACUGGGCUUAAAGCGUGUGUAGGCGGGCGGGCAAAUACCUUGGGAAAUCCCACGGCUCAACCGUGGAACGGCUGGGUAUACUGCCUGUCUUGAGCCAACUAGGGGCGAGCGGAACAGACGGUGGAGCGGUGAAAUGCGUAGAUAUCGUCUGGAACGCCAAAGGUGAAAACAGCUCGCUGGGGUUGUGCUGACGCUGAGACACGAAAGCCAGGGGAGCGAACGGG
rnacentral:rRNA from 1 species